rnacentral:rRNA from 1 species
ACUGGGGUUAAUUCCCGAUGGGUGAGGAGGCCUGGAAUGGUUCUUCACUGAAAGGGCGCUAGAGGCAUGCUCUCUAACGUUGCCCAAGGAUGGGGCCGCGGCCGAUCAGGUUGUUGGUGAGGUAACGGCUUACCAAGCCUAUAACCGGUACGGGCCGUGAGAGCGGAAGCCCGGAGAUGGGCACUGAGAUAAGGGCCCAGGCCCUACGGGGCGCAGCAGUUGCGAAAACUCCGCAAUGCACGAAAGUGUGACGGGGCUACCCCGAGUGCCGUCCGCUGAGGAUGGCUUUUCUCCGCUGUAAGGAGGCGGAGGAAUAAGGAGAGGGCAAGACUGGUGUCAGCCGCCGCGGUAAUACCAGCUCUCCGAGUGGUAGGGGUGAUUAUUGGGCUUAAAGCGUCCGUAGCCGGCCUGGCAAGUCUUCCGUUAAAUCCAGCAACCUAAUUGUUGGGCUGCGGGGGAUACUGUUAGGCUUGGGGGCGGGAGAGGCCGACGGUAUUCUCGGGGUAGGGGUGAAAUCUUAUAAUCCCGGGAGGACCACCAGUGGCGAAGGCUGUCGGCUAGCACGCGCCUGACGGUGAGGGACGAAAGCUGGGGGAGCGAACCGGAUUAGAUACCCGGGUAGUCCCUGCUGUAAACGAUGCGAGCUAGGUGUUGGGGCGGCUACGAGCCGCUUCAGUGCCGCAGCGAAGGCGUUAAGCUCGCCGCCUGGGGAGUACGGCCGCAAGGCUGAAACUUAAAGGAAUUGGCGGGGGAGCACCACAAGGCGUGAAGCUUGCGGUUCAAUUGGAGUCAACGCCGGA